CGUCCAAUUAGCUAGUUGGUGGUGUAACGGACCACCAAGGCGACGAUUGGUAGCCGAACUGAGAGGUUGAUCGGCCACAUUGGGACUGAGAUACGGCCCAGACUCCUACGGGAGGCAGCAGUGGGGAAUAUUGCGCAAUGGGGGAAACCCUGACGCAGCAACGCCGCGUGGAGGAAGAAGGUCUUCGGAUUGUAAACUCCUGUCUUCUGGGACGAUAAUGAUGGUACCUGUUGAAUAAGCCCCGGCUAACUACGUGCCAGCAGCCGCGGUAAUACGUAGGGGGCGAGCGUUGUCCGGAGUUACUGGGCGUAAAGGGUGAGUAGGCGGUAAUGUAAGUCACAUGUGAAAACCCAGGGCUUAACCUUGGGAGUGCAUUUGAAACUGAAGGGCUCGAGUGCAGGAGAGGUAAGUGGAAUUCCUAGUGUAGCGGUGAAAUGCGUAGAUAUUAGGAGGAACACCAGUGGCGAAGGCGACUUACUGGACUGUAACUGACGCUGAGACGCGAAAGCGUGGGUAGCAAACAGGAUUAGAUACCCUGGUAGUCCACGCUGUAAACGAUGAGUGCUAGGUGUAGGGGGUAUCGACUCCCUCUGUGCCGCAGUUAACGCAUUAAGCACUCCGCCUGGGGAGUACGGCCGCAAGGUUAAAACUCAAAGGAAUUGACGGGGGCCCGCACAAGCGGUGGAGUAUGUGGUUUAAUUCGAUGAUACGCGAGAAACCUUACCUGGUCUUGACAUGCUGGGAACCCUUAAGAGAGGGUGCCUGCUUGCAGGAGCCCAGACACAGGUGGUGCAUGGUUGUCGUCAGCUCGUGUCGUGAGAUGUUGGGUUAAGUCCCGCAACGAGCGCAACCCUUGUUGCUAGUUACCAGCACGUAAUGGUGGGAACUCGCGAGACUGCCGGUGACAAACCGGAGGAAGGUGGGGAUGACGUCAAAUCAUCACGCCCCUUACGACCAGGGCCACACACGUACUACAAUGCCCGGUACAGAGGGAAGCGAAACUGCGAAGUUAAGCGAACCCCUUAAAACAGGUCCCAGUUCGGAUUGUAGGCUGCAACUCGCCUACAUGAAGUUGGAAUCGCUAGUAAUCGCAGGUCAGCAUACUGCGGUGAAUACGUUCCCGGGCCUUGUACACACCGCCCGUCACACCACGAAAGUCGGCAACACCCGAAGCAGUUGAGCUA
rnacentral:rRNA from 1 species